rnacentral:rRNA from 1 species
UGCCAGACUCCUACGGGAGGCAGCAGUGGGGGAUAUUGCACAAUGGGGGCAACCCUGAUGCAGCGACGCCGCGUGAGUGAAGAAGUACUUCGUUAUGUAAAGCUCUAUCAGCAGGGAAGAAAAUGACGGUACCUGAGUAAGAAGCCCCGGCUAACUACGUGCCAGCAGCCGCGGUAAUACGUAGGGGGCAAGCGUUAUCCGGAUUUACUGGGUGUAAAGGGAGCGUAGACGGCAGUGCAAGUCUGGAGUGAAAGGCGGGGGCUCAACCCCCGGACUGCUCUGGAAACUGUACGGCUGGAGUGCAGGAGAGGUAAGUGGAAUUCCUAGUGUAGCGGUGAAAUGCGUAGAUAUUAGGAGGAACACCAGUGGCGAAGGCGGCUUACUGGACUGUAACUGACGUUGGGGCUCGAAAGCGUGGGGAGCAAACAGGAUUAGAUACCCGAGUA